rnacentral:rRNA from 1 species
CGGAUGAUCGAUUGGUGACUGAGUGGCGGACGGGUGAGUAACGCGUGGGUAACCUGCCCUGUACAGGGGGAUAACAGCUGGAAACGGCUGCUAAUACCGCAUAAGCGCACGAGGAGACAUCUCCUUGUGUGAAAAACUCCGGUGGUACAGGAUGGGCCCGCGUCUGAUUAGCUGGUUGGCAGGGUAACGGCCUACCAAGGCAACGAUCAGUAGCCGGUCUGAGAGGAUGAACGGCCACAUUGGAACUGAGACACGGUCCAAACUCCUACGGGAGGCAGCAGUGGGGAAUAUUGCACAAUGGGGGAAACCCUGAUGCAGCAACGCCGCGUGAGUGAAGAAGUAUUUCGGUAUGUAAAGCUCUAUCAGCAGGGAAGAUAAUGACGGUACCUGACUAAGAAGCUCCGGCUAAAUACGUGCCAGCAGCCGCGGUAAUACGUAUGGAGCAAGCGUUAUCCGGAUUUACUGGGUGUAAAGGGUGCGUAGGUGGCAGUGCAAGUCAGAUGUGAAAGGCCGGGGCUCAACCCCGGAGCUGCAUUUGAAACUGCAUAGCUAGAGUACAGGAGAGGCAGGCGGAAUUCCUAGUGUAGCGGUGAAAUGCGUAGAUAUUAGGAGGAACACCAGUGGCGAAGGCGGCCUGCUGGACUGUUACUGACACUGAGGCG